AGAGUUUGAUCAUGGCUCAGAUUGAACGCUGGCGGCAGGCCUAACACAUGCAAGUCGAACGGUAACAGGAAGCAGCUUGCUGCUUCGCUGACGAGUGGCGGACGGGUGAGUAAUGUCUGGGAAACUGCCUGAUGGAGGGGGAUAACUACUGGAAACGGUGGCUAAUACCGCAUAACGUCGCAAGACCAAAGAGGGGGACCUUCGGGCCUCUUGCCAUCAGAUGUGCCCAGAUGGGAUUAGCUAGUUGGUGAGGUAACGGCUCACCAAGGCGACGAUCCCUAGCUGGUCUGAGAGGAUGACCAGCCACACUGGAACUGAGACACGGUCCAGACUCCUACGGGAGGCAGCAGUGGGGAAUAUUGCACAAUGGGCGCAAGCCUGAUGCAGCCAUGCCGCGUGUAUGAAGAAGGCCUUCGGGUUGUAAAGUACUUUCAGCGGGGAGGAAGGUGUUGUGGUUAAUAACCGCAGCAAUUGACGUUACCCGCAGAAGAAGCACCGGCUAACUCCGUGCCAGCAGCCGCGGUAAUACGGAGGGUGCAAGCGUUAAUCGGAAUUACUGGGCGUAAAGCGCACGCAGGCGGUCUGUCAAGUCGGAUGUGAAAUCCCCGGGCUCAACCUGGGAACUGCAUUCGAAACUGGCAGGCUUGAGUCUUGUAGAGGGGGGUAGAAUUCCAGGUGUAGCGGUGAAAUGCGUAGAGAUCUGGAGGAAUACCGGUGGCGAAGGCGGCCCCCUGGACAAAGACUGACGCUCAGGUGCGAAAGCGUGGGGAGCAAACAGGAUUAGAUACCCUGGUAGUCCACGCCGUAAACGAUGUCUACUUGGAGGUUGUGCCCUUGAGGCGUGGCUUCCGGAGCUAACGCGUUAAGUAGACCGCCUGGGGAGUACGGCCGCAAGGUUAAAACUCAAAUGAAUUGACGGGGGCCCGCACAAGCGGUGGAGCAUGUGGUUUAAUUCGAUGCAACGCGAAGAACCUUACCUGGUCUUGACAUCCACGGAAGUUUUCAGAGAUGAGAAUGUGCCUUCGGGAACCGUGAGACAGGUGCUGCAUGGCUGUCGUCAGCUCGUGUUGUGAAAUGUUGGGUUAAGUCCCGCAACGAGCGCAACCCUUAUCCUUUGUUGCCAGCGAUUAGGUCGGGAACUCAAAGGAGACUGCCAGUGAUAAACUGGAGGAAGGUGGGGAUGACGUCAAGUCAUCAUGGCCCUUACGACCAGGGCUACACACGUGCUACAAUGGCGCAUACAAAGAGAAGCGACCUCGCGAGAGCAAGCGGACCUCAUAAAGUGCGUCGUAGUCCGGAUUGGAGUCUGCAACUCGACUCCAUGAAGUCGGAAUCGCUAGUAAUCGUGGAUCAGAAUGCCACGGUGAAUACGUUCCCGGGCCUUGUACACACCGCCCGUCACACCAUGGGAGUGGGUUGCAAAAGAAGUAGGUAGCUUAACCUUCGGGAGGGCGCUUACCACUUUGUGAUUCAUGACUGGGGUGAAGUCGUAACAAGGUAACCGUAGGGGAACCUGCGGUUGGAUCACCUCCUU
rnacentral:rRNA from 1 species